rnacentral:rRNA from 1 species
UUGCACGCUGGCGGCAGGCCUAACACAUGCAAGUCGAGCGGAUGAAGGGAGCUUGCUCCUGGAUUCAGCGGCGGACGGGUGAGUAAUGCCUAGGAAUCUGCCUGGUAGUGGGGGAUAACGUCCGGAAACGGGCGCUAAUACCGCAUACGUCCUGAGGGGGAAAGUGGGGGAUCUUCGGACCUCACGCUAUCAGAUGAGCCUAGGUCGGAUUAGCUAGUUGGUGGGGUAAAGGCCUACCAAGGCGACGAUCCGUAACUGGUCUGAGAGGAUGAUCAGUCACACUGGAACUGAGACACGGUCCAGACUCCUACGGGAGGCAGCAGUGGGGAAUAUUGGACAAUGGGCGAAAGCCUGAUCCAGCCAUGCCGCGUGUGUGAAGAAGGUCUUCGGAUUGUAAAGCACUUUAAGUUGGGAGGAAGGGCAGUAAGUUAAUACCUUGCUGUUUUGACGUUACCAACAGAAUAAGCACCGGCUAACUUCGUG